rnacentral:rRNA from 1 species
AGCUAAUAGAUACCCCGGUAGUCCACGCCCUAAACGAUGUCUACUAGUUGUUGGUGGAGUAAAAUCCAUGAGUAAACGCAGCUAAACGCGUGAAGUAGACCGCCUGGGGAGUACGGUCGCAAGAUUAAAAACUCAAAGGAAUUGACGGGGGCCCGCACAAGCGGUGGAUUAUGUGGAUUAAAUUCGAUGCAACGCGAAAAACCUUACCUGGCCUUGACAUGCCACUAACGAAGCAGAGAUGCAUUAGGUGCCCGUAAGGGAAAGUGGACACAGGUGCUGCAUGGCUGUCGUCAGCUCGUGUCGUGAGAUGUUGGGUUAAGUCCCGCAACGAGCGCAACCCUUGCCAUUAAUUGCCAUCAUUUAGUUGGGCACUUUAAUGGGACUGCCGGUGACAAACCGGACGGAAGGUGGGGAUGACGUCAAGUCCUCAUGGCCUAUGGCCAGGGCUUCACACGUAAUACAAUGGUCGGUACAGAGAGUUG